AAAUAGGGGUGGUAGUAAUGCGGUAUAAUUUCAGCGUAAGAAAGGGAGGCU
rnacentral:sRNA from 1 species